rnacentral:pre_miRNA from 1 species
AAUGAAUGAAAAACAAAACGAGAUUGUUUAUACUGACGUUUCGCUAUUUAAUACUUUGAGAAAGCUAUUAGCAUUAAAUAGCGAAACGUCAGUAUAAACAAUCUCGUUUUGUUUUUCAUUCAUU